rnacentral:rRNA from 1 species
GACGAACGCCGGCGGCGUGCUUAACACAUGCAAGUCGAACGGAGCGAAUGAAAGCUUGCUUUUAUGAGCUUAGUGGCAAACGGGUGAGUAACACGUAGACAACCUGCCGACAGGAUGGGGACAACAUUCCGAAAGGAAUGCUAAUACCGAAUGAAGCGGAGGAGAGGCAUCUCUCCUCCGUGAAAGAUGGCCUCUAUUUAUAAGCUAUCACCUGUCGAUGGGUCUGCGUCUGAUUAGCUAGUUGGUGAGGUAAUGGCCCCAAGGCGACGAUCAGUAGCCGGUCUGAGAGGAUGAACGGCCACAUUGGGACUGAGACACGGCCCAGACUCCUACGGGAGGCAGCAGUGGGGAAUCUUCCGCAAUGGGCGCAAGCCUGACGGAGCAACGCCGCGUGAGUGAAGAAGGUCUUCGGAUCGUAAAGCUCUGUUGAUGGGGACGAACGUACGGAGUGCGAA